rnacentral:lncRNA from 1 species
NNNNNNNNNNNNNNNNNNNNNNNNNNNNNNNNNNNNNNNNNNNNNNNNCACCCGGACACUGCCCCGGACACCCGGACACUGCCCCGGACACCGGGACACUGCCCCGGGCACCCGGACACUGCCCCGGCACCUGCUCCUAGAGCGGCCCCGGGCACCUGUGCCAGCCCCGGGUACCUGUCCUGGUCCCUGUCCCGGGUAUGUGUCCCAGCCCUGGGGACCUGGCCCGGUGACCUGUCCCAGCCCCAGGUACCUGUCCCAGCCCCGGGUAUUUGUCCCAGCCCUGGGGACCUGUCCCGGUUCCGGGGACCUGUCCCGGGUCCCUGUCCCGGUGACCUGUCCCAGUCCCGGGUACGUGUCCCAGCCCUGGGGACCUGUCCCAGCCCCAGGUACCUGUCCUGGGCCCCUGUCCCCGGUACCUGUCCCAGCCCCAGGUACCUGUCCCAGUCCCGGGUAUGUGUCCCAGCCCUGGGGACCUGUCCCGGUCCCGGGGACCUGUCCUGGGUACCUGUCCCAGCCCCAGGUACCUGUCCUGGUGACCUGUCCCAGCCCCGGGGGCCGCCCCAGAACCUUCCCCCAGCACCUUUCCCCACCAGCAGCUCCCAGGCACUGCCCCAGCCAAGAUCUGUCCUCCCCUUGCCCAUCGCAGAGGUUGGGUCUGAAGGGCUCCUCAGGAAUUUCAGGAGUGUCAGCAUGGAGCAGUGCUCAGGGACAGCACAGAACGAGCUGCAGCAAUAAAUCAAUUAUCAGGUGUGCUGUGGGCUGAGCUUUGUCAGUGUGGUGUUCUCUGUGCAGAGCCUUGUGCUGCUCCUGUCACGGGCAGAGCACUUCACCUUUUGGGUCCAGCUCAGAAGUGUCCUGGGAGCUCUAAAGCAGCUGCUGUUUCUCAGAGCACUCCCCAGGGCUGCUCCCCAUGGGACAGGCACUGGAUAGACCUGUCACCUGUCACCCAAAAAUGUUCAGCUCAUCCCAGCUCAGGUGGGAAGGGACCUCUGGAGGUCACCUGGUCCAGCCCUGCUCAGGCAGGGUCUCCU